AUCCUUUUGUAAUUCAUGAACAUAAUGAUUGGGUGUUCACACGCUUGGGUGAGAUGUGCCACCCAUUAACCUUGUUACAACGUCGGCACAUUACCCAUUAAACC
rnacentral:snoRNA from 1 species